rnacentral:miRNA from 1 species
UGAGUAUUCUAUCAGGAGUCGA